CGGCGUGCUUAACACAUGCAAGUCGAACGGAAAGGCCCUGCUUUUGUGGGGUGCUCGAGUGGCGAACGGGUGAGUAACACGUGAGUAACCUGCCCUUGACUUUGGGAUAACUUCAGGAAACUGGGGCUAAUACCGGAUAGGAGCUCCUGCUGCAUGGUGGGGGUUGGAAAGUUUCGGCGGUUGGGGAUGGACUCGCGGCUUAUCAGCUUGUUGGUGGGGUAGUGGCUUACCAAGGCUUUGACGGGUAGCCGGCCUGAGAGGGUGACCGGCCACAUUGGGACUGAGAUACGGCCCAGACUCCUACGGGAGGCAGCAGUGGGGAAUAUUGCACAAUGGGCGGAAGCCUGAUGCAGCAACGCCGCGUGCGGGAUGACGGCCUUCGGGUUGUAAACCGCUUUCGCCUGUGACGAAGCGUGAGUGACGGUAAUGGGUAAAGAAGCACCGGCUAACUACGUGCCAGCAGCCGCGGUGAUACGUAGGGUGCGAGCGUUGUCCGGAUUUAUUGGGCGUAAAGGGCUCGUAGGUGGUUGAUCGCGUCGGAAGUGUAAUCUUGGGGCUUAACCCUGAGCGUGCUUUCGAUACGGGUUGACUUGAGGAAGGUAGGGGAGAAUGGAAUUCCUGGUGGAGCGGUGGAAUGCGCAGAUAUCAGGAGGAACACCAGUGGCGAAGGCGGUUCUCUGGGCCUUUCCUGACGCUGAGGAGCGAAAGCGUGGGGAGCGAACAGGCUUAGAUACCCUGGUAGUCCACGCUGUAAACGGUGGGUACUAGGUGUGGGGUCCAUUCCACGGGUUCCGUGCCGUAGCUAACGCUUUAAGUACCCCGCCUGGGGAGUACGGCCGCAAGGCUAAAACUCAAAGGAAUUGACGGGGCCCCGCACAAGCGGCGGAGCAUGCGGAUUAAUUCGAUGCAACGCGUAGAACCUUACCUGGGUUUGACAUGGAUCGGGAGUGCUCAGAGAUGGGUGUGCCUCUUUUGGGGUCGGUUCACAGGUGGUGCAUGCCUGUCGUCAGCUCGUGUCGUGAGAUGUUGGGUUAAGUCCCGCAACGAGCGCAACCCUUGUUCACUGUUGCCAGCACGUUAUGGUGGGGACUCAGUGGAGACCGCCGGGGUCAACUCGGAGGAAGGUGGGGAUGACGUCAAGUCCUCAUGCCCCUUAUGUCCAGGGCUUCACGCAUGCUACAAUGGCUGGUACAGAGAGUGGCGAGCCUGUGAGGGUGAGCGAAUCUCGGAAAGCCGGUCUCAGUUCGGAUUGGGGUCUGCAACUCGACCUCAUGAAGUCGGAGUCGCUAGUAAUCGCAGAUCAGCAACGCUGCGGUGAAUACGUUCCCGGGGCUUGUACACACCGCCCGUCAAGUCAUGAAAGUUGGUAACACCCGAAGCCGGUGGCCUAACCGUUGUGGGGGAGCCGUCGAAGGUGGGACUGGUGAUUAGG
rnacentral:rRNA from 1 species